UGUUUUUAGUCAAUUAUCCUAAAACACCAAUCAUGUCGUUGUAGUAUUUUAGGUGUCAAUCCAAAUGGGUGUCAUGCAAGCAGAUGAGAUGUGAUCAGAAGUCACUAAGUCAAGCCAAGCAAUAACAGUUUUGGGGUUUCUAACAAUCCUAAGCGAACAUGCAGAAAACAGAAACAAUAACAGAAUUACUAAAUUGAUUAAGUGAUAACGUUAAAACAGAGAAAUCAGAUGGAUGAGAAAUUCCUAAGGAUGGGGUAAUCGAAUAGAGUGGUAUCCUAGCCUAUUCGAAUGGUUAACAAGCGCAAUCAAGCUAUCCCUAGACAAAGGUUCAACAACAGAUCAAUUCACUCCCGUGAUAGAAAUCCUCAAGCCCAGACUAAUUCCCAUUAACGGAAUCUAACUAUGCAGGCAAUAAGAACAGACUGAUAAAGUCAAUAAACGCUCUAAACGGCCAAUCCCUUGGGAUAGAGACGAAUAUCUCAGGAACUAGUAGAUCAAGCAUUCCAUCGAACACCUUCUGGGUGCGGGAAUGCUUGGGAUCGAAUUCCAGUUGAUCAGAAAGAAAUAAGCAGUAAACACAACUAGUCCUAAAGGGAUUCAAUCAAUUCUAAAACUUAACCAUUCUAGAGACUACGGAUUCCAUAACUACUCUAUCCCAUCCUUAAGAAUUCUAAGUCACUACUCAGACAACAUGCUCAAAGACAUAAACGCAGGUAAAUGAUAAUAUUGCAUAAGUAAAGAGAUAAAGAGUAGAGAAACAAGAUGAUAGAUGAAAUCGAAUGCAGAAUCUGAAUAACUUGGAAAAAUCUCGAAUUAUAGGUUACAGAAGCAAAAGCGGCGUAGCUAGAGUAAAACCAAAAAUAAAACUGAAGCAAAAACUCAAUGUCGACUAGAUGUCUCAGGACAGAACCCUAAGACAUCUAUUUAUACAAAACGAAGUAAAAUGAUAGUAGACAUGCCAAUAACUAAUCGCCCGGCCCAUAGAAUGAUAAUGGGCCGAGGUGGGCUUCAUGAUCCGAUGGAGGUCCAGGCCGUUUCCAAACACUUUGUCUUCUCCUCUUCUCUUCCUUGUGCUCAGCUUGUCUGGUUGAGUGCGAAUUUGAGUAGACUAUGAUGAUGUGAUCGAGGGCCCGGUCGAGUGAUGGUGUUGGUGGUGAGUGAUGAUACUCGACGAGGGGGUCGAGUAACGUGGUAGAGUGAACGGCCGAGUGUGGUCAGGUGGUAAGUCGAAGUGAUAUUCGACCUGGGGGUCGAGUGGCGUCAUCGAGUGGCCUGAGCUGAGGUUACUCGACCUGGGGGUCGAGUAGAUGGGAAGAAUGGCUCCAAAGUCACUCGACUAGGGGGUCGAGUAUGGUGCUGGAUGCACACGACCUGGUGGUCGAGUUUGUCUUCUGGUUCUGGCUCGUUUCUUCCAAUUUGCUCGCAAACAGCUCCAAAUCACUUGAAAACAACUCAGAAAUGCAAUAUGUAUGCAAAGCUAUCCUAAUCAUGCAAAGUCUGCAAGAAUGAUGAGAAAUGAUAUAAAACAGUGAUGAAUGAUACGAAACUGGACUCAAAACGAUGAUGAAUACCCCAUUA
rnacentral:sRNA from 1 species